rnacentral:rRNA from 1 species
UCUACGGUGUGCAGCAGUGGGGAAUAUUGGGCCAUGGGCGCAAGCCUGACCCAGCAACGCCGCGUGAAGGCAGAAGGCUUUCGGGUUGUAAACUUCUUUUCUCAGGGACGAAGCAAGUGACGGUACCUGAGGAAUAAGCCACGGCUAACUACGUGCCAGCAGCCGCGGUAAUACGUGGGUGGCAAGCGUUAUCCGGAUUUCCUGGGAGUAAAGGGCGUGCAGGCGGGACUGCAAGUCAGAUGUGAAAACCACGGGCCCACCCUGUGGCCUGCAUUUGAAACUGUAUUACUUGAGUACUGGAGAGGCAGACGGAAUGCCUAGUGUAGCGGUGAAAUGCGUAGAUAUUAGGAGGAACACCAGUGGCGAAGGCGGUCUGCUGGACAGCAACUGACGCGGAGGCGCGAAAGCGUGGGGAGCAAACAGGAUUAGAUACCCCAGUAGUC